CCUACGGGAGGCAGCAGUAAGGAAUAUUGGUCAAUGGAGGCAACUCUGAACCAGCCAUGCCGCGUGCAGGAAGACAGCCCUCUGGGUCGUAAACUGCUUUUAUUCGGGAAUAAACCUCAUUAUGUAUAGUGAGCUGAAUGUACCGAAGGAAUAAGGAUCGGCUAACUCCGUGCCAGCAGCCGCGGUAAUACGGAGGAUCCAAGCGUUAUCCGGAUUUAUUGGGUUUAAAGGGUGCGUAGGCGGCUUUUUAAGUCAGGGGUGAAAGACGGUAGCUCAACUAUCGCAGUGCCCUUGAUACUGAAGAGCUUGAAUGGACUAGAGGUAGGCGGAAUGUGACAAGUAGCGGUGAAAUGCAUAGAUAUGUCACAGAACACCGAUUGCGAAGGCAGCUUACUAUGGUUUAUUGACGCUGAGGCACGAAAGCGUGGGGAUCAAACAGGAUUAGAUACCCUGGUAGUCCACGCCCUAAACGAUGAAUACUCGCUGUUAGCGAUACACAGUUAGCGGCUAAGCGAAAGCGUUAAGUAUUCCACCUGGGGAGUACGGUCGCAAGAUUGAAACUCAAAGGAAUUGACGGCUGAGAGNGACGAGGACGACACGAGGGAGGAGG
rnacentral:rRNA from 1 species